AAUUAAUGAGCUUGAAAAAGCUUAUGUUUUGAAAACAUAAGAAAGAUAUAAAAUUGUCUAUUAAUUU
rnacentral:tRNA from 1 species